AGGUUUCAGAAUGUAUGUUUUACCGUGAACAUGGCUUCGAUUAAUGCGAUUUUUGUUGCCCCUUAUUUUGGAAUGCGUCUACCACAUAAAGCAAGGGAAACCUGUAAAUCGGAUUCAUGGUUUAAUGUCUUGGUUCCAUUGACACAACCCUGUAACAUGGAUUGUCACUCUCCCUAGAUCACAAACAUGGCCAUGAGGUUGUGCUUAAGAAGCAACUUCAUGAUGGUGCUAAAGCACAGGCCGUGGAGGAUCUGGCAAAGGUGAACGAGGAAGCGUUUUCCUUGAAGAUGAAGGUCAUCGCAAACCAAACCGGCAUGGACAUGGCAGCUGAACUGAGAUGCCAACAGUUGGAGUUGCAGAGUACCUUGAAGAAUUUUGUGAUAGGGACCUUAGCAGUCGUGGGCACGGUCGUGGUCGUUGGAUUGGCUGUGGCCGCAGCACCGUCAAUACCCUUGGCUGCAUCUCUGUUUUUGAAGGGGAGGUACGGAUUUAAGAUGUAAAUAAAGUGUUUUGCUUUAAUGAGUUUAUUUAGUACAACUGAAUGGUGUGUUUUAUCUGGUUUUUAAUAGGUGCUACUUUUAGUGUAACUAGAAUGUUUAGCUUUAUAACUUGCGACUGCCACAAUAAGAGAAUAUGCUCUAUAG